rnacentral:rRNA from 1 species
AGUGAACGCUGGCGGUAGGCCUAACACAUGCAAGUCGAACGGCAGCACAGUAAGAGCUUGCUCUUACGGGUGGCGAGUGGCGGACGGGUGAGGAAUACAUCGGAAUCUACUUUUUCGUGGGGGAUAACGUAGGGAAACUUACGCUAAUACCGCAUACGACCUACGGGUGAAGGCAGGGGAUCUUCGGACCUUGCGCGAUUGAAUGAGCCGAUGUCGGAUUAGCUAGUUGGCGGGGUAAAGGCCCACCAAGGCGACGAUCCGUAGCUGGUCUGAGAGGAUGAUCAGCCACACUGGAACUGAGACACGGUCCAGACUCCUACGGGAGGCAGCAGUGGGGAAUAUUGGACAAUGGGCGCAAGCCUGAUCCAGCCAUACCGCGUGGGUGAAGAAGGCCUUCGGGUUGUAAAGCCCUUUUGUUGGAAAAGAAAAGCAGCAGGUUAAUACCCCGCUGUUCUGACGGUACCCAAAGAAUAAGCACCGGCUAACUUCGUG